GGGUGAGUGACACGUGGAUAACCUACCUAUAAGACUGGGAUAACUUCGGGAAACCGGAGCUAAUACCGGAUAACAUGUUGAACCGCAUGGUUCAACAGUGAAAGACGGUCUUGCUGUCACUUAUAGAUGGAUCCGCGCCGCAUUAGCUAGUUGGUAAGGUAACGGCUUACCAAGGCAACGAUGCGUAGCCGACCUGAGAGGGUGAUCGGCCACACUGGAACUGAGACACGGUCCAG
rnacentral:rRNA from 1 species